GGGUAUUAGGAAGAGGGAGAACAAAGUACAAGCUGGGCAUCCCAAGGUGGCUUGUGUUGAUUUUCUGAAGCUUGUAGGUAACGAGGUUUGGUCCAGCUGCCAGGCUUCGAAUCUCCUGCCUCUUCCUGCUUUAUGUCUUGAGUUGAUCCCUUGAUUGCAGCUUUCUGGGACCUGAUAAACUCCCCAUGGUCACUUUAUAUGGAGAGCGUUGGAAUGCUUCAUGAUUAGUUUUCGCACACAAAACCGGAGCAUAAAAACCCUGGGUGAAAGCUGGAGAGGCAGGGCGUGGAGAGCCACUUUUCCAGAGGUAGAUCCAGAGCAAGUGUGGCAAGUCAAAACAAGACAAGAAGGUCUAACAGUAAGUUUUCAAGGAUGCAAAAGGCUAAGACUGAGGAUGGGAACCAAGGGUGCUCCAUAUCCAUCAACCCAGCCAUCCCAUAACAGAGACAAGGAGAUCCAGAGUAUGAGGCCAUCCUAUGCUACACAGCAGGACACUGACUUCAAAACUAAACAGCAAGCUGAGGGCAGCCCUGAUGUUGGGACGCGCAGGAAUGAGGCUUGUGAGGAUAUGAUGCUGUAAUGUCUUAGCGGGUACUUAGGCCUCGGAGAGGGUUUGUGAGAAACUGAACUGAAUAGCCUUUGUCUCCCUAUUCUGUGUAAUAAGCCCCUUCCUUACAGUUAAGUCAACUUGAGUUGGAAAUUGUGAUAUUUGCUGAUGGCUGCACAGUAUAUUGUCUAACAUUAAACACCUUUCAUCUUCUGAUCAAAUAGAGAAGAGAACAAAUAAAAUAAAAAUUUUCAUAGAA